rnacentral:tRNA from 1 species
GCGGGUCUCAGAGGUAGAGCAUCUGCUCACUAUGUAGACAGUCCCAGGUUCAACCCCUGGAAUAUGUG